rnacentral:rRNA from 1 species
UACGGAGGGUGCAAGCGUUGUUCGGAAUUAUUGGGCGUAAAGGGCGCGUAGGCGGUGCGGUAAGUCUUUUGUGAAAUCUCCGGGCUCAACUCGGAGUCUGCAGGAGAAACUGCCGUGCUUGAGUGUGGGAGAGGUGAGUGGAAUUCCCGGUGUAGCGGUGAAAUUCGUAGAUAUGGGGAGGAACACCGGUGGCGAAGGCGGCCAUCUGGACGGAUACUGACGCUGAGACGCGAAAGCGUGGGGAGCAAACAGG